GGUGGAACAAGAUGAUCUUUAAGGUCCCUUCCAGCCCAAGCCACUCUGGGAUUUUAAGUGACUUUUCCUCUAAGCAGAGAUCAACAUCUUCUCCUAGGAAAAACUUGCAUUUAUCACUGCUUUGUCCCUUGUGUGAUUCCACCUCCACGCUCCCUGCAGUUUUCCCUGCCUGGUGUUGCACAAAAGAUGACCAGACAGGCUCUCACACACCGGAUUUACCCUCAGAACCUGGUGCUAGAGCUAAACAUCAACUACAGAAGUAAAAGUUCCUUUUUGGGGUGUGGGGAGGGGGAAUUAACAGGAGAAAAGAGAGAAAAGGGAAAGGGAAAACUCCCCCGUGGCCACCUGGGAUGGGACCACAGGGGGAGUCUCCCCCAACAAACACUUUCUCCAGUGCAGCAAGGAGCCCCCCAGGCACUUUUCCUACUCCUUGAACCUUCCCAUUGUCAAUCCUGGGGCUGGGAGUGUUGACUGGAGGCAGCUUUGAUCAGGGGCAGAUGCUAAUUGCCCAUUAAGCUCAGCUCUGCCCAGCCCCGGCUGAUGUUUAGUGGAUGUUUUAACGACCCUUGUCCCCUUUUGUUGUCCCGGGAGGGUCCUGGAGCGAGGUCACAGCAGGAAGAAAGGGCAGGAAAAGGGAGAUCGGCGUUCCCAGCAGUUGUAAUUAACUCUUCUGUUGUAAUUGCUUCUAAUUGCCACACAGCACAACAGUGCUGGGCUUAUUUAGGGCGAUAAGGGAGAGGACUUAGGGAUCUGCAGGUUAGGCCACUGUGUGGGCUCAGGGUUGGUCUGGAUUUGUCAGCUCUUACAAGGAAAAGGACGUUGGAAAACCUCUUCUCCCUGCUCUGUCUGCUACACACCCUGUCUGACAGUAGGGACUUCUUUUCCAUAGUCUCCUUUUCUUCCUUAUCCUGCUUCCUGGGAAUGAUUUUUAGCAUCCUUAUGACCAGCCAGCGAUGAAUUUAAAUUCUGUGUCUAAUUUCUAGAAAAAAACCAAACAUGCUACCAGGGUCUUGUACCUCCUUGGACAGCAGUUAUUCCCCUAGGUCUGUUAAAUUCCAUCUUUAUUCCCUAAGUUUUGGGGUAAACUGCCCCCAUUCCUGUAUGGGAGGCAGCUUUGUCAUCUCAUUUUGAUUUAGGGAGAAUCUACAUAAGGAAAGUUUGGACCUGAUGGAUCUUUAAAAUCCAAACAAUGUUUUUCUUUAUAUGUAUGUUCUAGAAAAUCUGUGCUCCUUGUCCUUGUUCCCAUUCAUAAAUGUGGUUGCUUGGCUUCACACCCCCAUCCUGCUUUUUUUAAAGGCAGGGAAAAAAAGAAAAGAAGAGUUAAGAGCUCCCCAUUUGUCUUCCCAAAAUACCCUGAGCAGGUCUCAGUUGUCCUGGUUUCUUUAAGGCAGGGAAUUCUGGGUUGUCCAUACAGGAGAAAUCUGAUGUUUGAAAUGCAUCUGGUUAAACUCCAGUGGAAAAAGUCAUUUUCUCCGGACACAUUUAAUUCCAAGUUAACAAAAUUUUGGCUGUGCAAUGUCAGUAGGAAAAUCUCAUCCCGAUUUUUUUUUCCCCUUUCUUCAGUUCCAGAAAUCAGAUCUAAAUUCUCAAAUCUAAAAGGCCUCCUGUAGCAGAACUGUUAAGUUUUCCCAGUCCUGUUUAGCCUUGUUAGGGGAUAACGGGGAGGAAGGGAGUGAGGUCGGAAUUGGGAGAGCAGCAUCCCUUGUCUGAAUUGUGAACCAGGGAGGAUGAGCUCCCUAAAGCCACGACCUCAAUGAGAAACAGGGGAGUGGAAAAUAAAUCUGAUGUUGUUCCUAACGCUGGAACCUUCACAAAGUUUGAAAAUCCAGGAAGGAUGGGAUAGCUCAGAAAUGCCUGUUCCUGUAAUUUUUUUGCUUUUAUUGAUCAGAGCACUAUUUUUAUGCUUCAGAUGCACUCAAGGCUUAGAGGACUCUCUCUGGAAGGGAUGCUGACUCUGCCCUUGCUGAUUCAUUCAGCCCUUGCUGAUGAUCCUUCUGGAAGCAACUCCUGUGCCCAGAGUGGCCUGAGUAUGAUCCCGUGUGUGGGCUCCAUCUCCUUGGCUCAAAGCAGGUCCUAACAUGUGGGUGUCCUCAGGAGGAUGGCUCUAGCCUGGAGAGUCUGGAGCAGAGAUGCACAGAACUACAGAAUUCAUCUCUCUGCAAGUGCCUGCUGAGAACUUGAGGACAAGCUUAAACAGGACAAAGGGACAGAUUUUUAAUGUGCAGUGGAAUAUUCUGAACUUCCCAGCUGACACAGAUAAGAUAAGAGUGACAAAUCUGUGGGGGAAAAU